GACGAACGCUGGCGGCGUGCUUAACACAUGCAAGUCGAGCGGUAAGGCCCUUUCGGGGGUACACGAGCGGCGAACGGGUGAGUAACACGUGGGUGACCUGCCCUCAGCUCUGGGAUAAGCCUGGGAAACUGGGUCUAAUACUGGAUAUGACUCCACGGUGCAUGUCGUGGGGUGGAAAGCCUUGUGCGGCUGAGGAUGGGCCCGCGGCCUAUCAGCUUGUUGGUGGGGUGANGGCCUACCAAGGCGACGACGGGUAGCCGGCCUGAGAGGGCGACCGGCCACACUGGGACU
rnacentral:rRNA from 1 species